AAAAUUGAACAUACUAACUCAUAUAUCCCUUGAAUAUGGCAAGGAGUAUCUACCGGAAACCAAAAAUUUCUGACUAUGAGUAAAAUUAG
rnacentral:ncRNA from 1 species